rnacentral:rRNA from 1 species
AGGUUAAGCUAAUAAGAGCACACGGAGGAUGCCUAGGCGCCAGGAGCCGACGAAGGACGUGGCGAACAACGAAACUGCCUCGGGGAGCUGUAAGCAAGCUUUGAUCCGGGGGUGUCCGAAUGGGGAAACCCAGCUGUGGUAAUUCGCAGUUACUCAUUUCUGAAUACAUAGGAAAUGUAGAGGCAGACCAGGGGAACUGAAACAUCUAAGUACCCUGAGGAAGAGAAAACAAUAGUGAUUCCGUCAGUAGCGGCGAGCGAACGCGGAACAGCCUAAACCUAAGAGCUUGCUCUUAGGGGUUGUGGGACGUCUCACAUGGAGUUACAAAGGAAUAUGGUAGGUGAAGAGGUCUGGAAAGGCCCGCGAUAGAGGUAAAAGCCCUGUAACCUAAACUGUAUUCUCUCCGAGACGGAUCCCGAGUAGUGCGGGGCACGUGAAACCCCGUAUGAAUCCAGCAGGACCAUCUGCUAAGGCUAAAUACUACCUGGCGACCGAUAGUGAAACAGUACCGUGAGGGAAAGGUGAAAAGCACCCCGGAAGGGGAGUGAAAUAGAACCUGAAACCGUGUGCUUACAAAAAGUCAGAGCCCGAUCUAUGGGUGAUGGCGUGCCUUUUGUAGAAUGAACCGGCGAGUUACGUUUAACAUGCAAGGUUAAGCCGAGAAGGUGGAGCCGCAGCGAAAGCGAGUCUGAA